UUGGGAGUAUUUUCUAUUAAUAUGUGCUUUUUACACCAUUGUUAUGGCUAAAUUGCAGACUGAAAUUCAAGUCAAUGAGCAUCGUCUUCAGUUUCUCCCAUUUCUGAGACAACACUUCCUGGGUAUUUAACCUUUGACCCCUGCCUCCCCUUUGGUUUUUGGUUCUUCACGCUGAGGGUUAGCAUCCCUUCUCCCCUUUUCCUUUGUUCGAAUCACGCGGUUCAGGCCAACGCGAAGAAGACUCCGCUUCAGAGCCUCGACUCGGUCGCCGCCAGGCGAUCAGACAAGUUGCCGACAAAAGCUUCCAGCCGAGCGCGAGCUCUCCGAGUGACCCACGACUCGACGAAAAAGGCAGGAAGAGGUCGCGACCUAUUCGCGCUCAAUUUUAGUCCAGCAACACACAAUGUCCUAUCUUCCCUUUUCAUUUACCAUGAGCGUUCUUUUCUUUUUGUCGUAGGGUCCGCCUGUAUGUUACCCCGUAGUUUCCCCUCCUAGAUUGAAUGAAAUCCUCGGUAAAAGGGGCUUCUGCAAACUACAUUUCAUCAAGAUAUGUUCUUGCGGCACAUCUGCCUCACGGUUCUGAGGACUCCACUCGUGUUCCACUCCGGCCUCGCCUGUGUGGAGUUUGCAAGUUGUCCCCGCGCCUGGGUGGGAUUGCUCUGCUUCCUCGGAUUUCCUCCCACAGCCCCAAAACACGCGUGCUCGGUUGAUUGAAGACUCUAAAUUGCCCGUAGGUGUGAAUGUGAGUGCCAAUGGUUGUUUGUUUCCAUAUGGCAGGCGACCGGCACGCCCGAGACCCUUGUGUUGAGAUAUGGGCCAACACAUACAAAACCAAUACUUGGCCUAUUUUUUAAGAAUCAUAAUCAAUCUGAACACACAGAGGCAACAAAUGCUUCCUCAAUUGAAGUACAUGUACAAUUCAAAACCUCAGAACUAAUGUUCAAAGUACGCAAGCAUUUACUUUGCCAUAGUAUUUCAAAGCUGGUUAAAAAUGAAGACUUAUGGUCUGAGGGGAAGCGCUAUUCCCAAAGAGGACCGACAUAAAACGGACGCGUCUCUGUUGGAGCUGUUACUUUACGGAACGACUACGACGGUUACCUGAAAAUGUGUGCUUCGCUUCAAGUUUUAAAAGUAUCUUUUAAACCAAAGUACUGCAAAAAUAUAUGAGGCAGGUAUAACCAAAUGAAAUUGCAUCGUGCGAGUUCCGGGACAAAUUGUUGAGGUAAAAUGCGUUCUUUUUAAUUGAAUUUGACUCUGUAAAAAGUUGAAAUGUGUGUUGGUGCUUUGCAGGCUUUUUUUUUUUGGUCUUGUAAAGCUCGCCGCAGGCAUAAUAAGCCACGGCUUCGCCUAACGCCUUUUCGCUUGGCUUCAUCCUUUGUUGGUUUUCUGCAAUGAUUCUGUGAAUGAAAGCUCAUCGAAUAAACCUCACCUAACGUUUACAUUGAAACCUUCUUGAUCACCUCCAUUCUUGUGUGUCUUAGCCCCAUCCUUACAAGAGACUCUUGGACAGCAAGUGGCGCAGGCAAAGGGUUUCUGACCAGUGUGGGUUCUUGAGUGUCUUUUCAAGAACCUUUGACCACAAACCGAACAGGCAAAAGGUGUGGGCUCGUGUGUGUACUUUCCCUUGUGCGUGAAUCGUCGAGCGCAAUCUGAGCAGGCGAAAGGUUUCUCCCCGGUGUGGGUUCUUACAUGACUUCUCAACUGUUCCUUGCUCGAGAAUCUUUUACUACAAUCUGAACAGGCGAAAUGCUUCUCACCAGUGCGCAUUCUCACAUGUCCAAUUUCAAAUGUCUCUCAUAAGGAAAGGUUUGCCCACACUGAGAACAUUUCCAUUGUUUGACGGUAGCGUGACACGUCAUUUCUCCAUCAUCUUCCGUUUCAGGAGAGUGUGACGUCAUGUCGUCACUAUCUGAUCGUGGCGCUAAGAGGCCGUCUGCUUGUGAUCCUCCACAGGGGUCUUCUCCGUCACCUUCUGUUCUCAUGUGUCGACUUGAGCUGCUGCUGCUCGGAGGCUCCGCCCCUCUGUUGUGUUCUCCUCACGUUGAACUUCAUCUCCACUCUUCAAAAGGACGCCAGUCGAUGAAAACAAGCCCCAGAGUCCACAGUUCCAGCGGCAUUGACCGUGGUGAGACGCUGCAGGAGGACCUGGGAGCGAGCCCGCCAGAUGCUGCUGCGCCAGUGACGGUCCUACAAAGCCGCUGCUGACCGUCGGAGGACACCGGCCCCCGAACUACAAAGUGGGUCAGCGAGUUUGGCUCUUGACCAAACAUAUUCCACUCCGGGUGGAGUCCAAGAAGCUCGCUCCCAGGUUCAUUGGGCCCUUCCCCAUCACAAAGAUCAUCAACCCUGUCACGGUGAAGCUUAGGCUCCCAACGUCGAUGCGGGUCCACCCUGCUUUUCACGUCAGCCUGCUCAAGCCAGCCCGGGAGUCCCCUCUGGUCCCGCCUUCCAGGCCCCCUCCUCCCCCCCGGUUUCUGGAUGGGGCCCUGUCUUCUCUGUGAAGCGGCUGUUGUCGUCUCGUCGGCGGGGGAGGGGGUUUUAAUAUCUGGUGGACUGGGAGGGUUACGGGCCUGAGGAACGUUCAUGGGUGGCACGUCUGCGUUUAUCAUGGAUGACUCGCUCAUUCGGGACUUCCACAUUGCGCAUCCAGGGGCCGUCUGGGGCCGGCCGUUAAGGGGGGGGGUACUGUCAUGGGUGUGUGUUUGGGUUUUUGUCUUCCCCCUGUUUCACACACACCUGCUCCUGUGAGGAUCUUCACCACCUGUGCCUCGUUCACCCUAAUGACCCCUUGCAUUGAACCUCGUGUCUCGUUCCCUCUCGUCGCCAGUUGGUUGUACCUUGUCGUCGCGUUCCGGCAUUCCUUGUUUCCACGUCACAGACUCACAGUAAGACUCGACCCUGUUCCGAUGAUAGACUUUGCCUCGUGUUUUUGGAUACCGUUGCCUCUCUUGGAUUGCCUGCCUGUGUACCGACCUAUGCCCGUCUAUUAAACCUCUCUUUUUGGAAA